UACGGAGGGUGCGAGCGUUAAUCGGAAUUACUGGGCGUAAAGGGUGCGUAGGUGGCACGAUAAGUUGUCUGUGAAAUUCCUGGGCUUAACCUGGGCAUGUCAGAUAAUACUGUUGAGCUAGAGUAUAGGAGAGGGUAGUGGAAUUUCCGGUGUAGCGGUGAAAUGCGUAGAGAUCGGAAGGAACACCAGUGGCGAAGGCGGCUACCUGGCCUAAUACUGACACUGAGGCACGAAAGCGUGGGGAGCAAACAGG
rnacentral:rRNA from 1 species